rnacentral:rRNA from 1 species
UACGAAGGGGGCUAGCGUUGUUCGGAAUCACUGGGCGUAAAGGGCGCGUAGGCGGCCUGAUAAGUAGGGGGUGAAAUCUUGCGGCUUAACCGCAAGGCUGCCUUCUAAACUGUCGGGCUAGAGCACAGUAGAGGCAGGUGGAAUUCCCGGUGUAGCGGUGGAAUGCGUAGAGAUCGGGAAGAACAUCAGUGGCGAAGGCGGCCUGCUGGGCUGUUGCUGACGCUGAGGCGCGACAGCGUGGGGAGCAAACAGG